rnacentral:rRNA from 1 species
GACGGGGAGGGCAAGCGUUAUUCGGCAUAACUGGGUGUAAAGGAUACGUAGAUGGUUUAUUAUGAUAAAUAAAAAAAUGAGUUUGUCAACUUUCUUAAUUAUUUAUAACAGAUAAACUUGAGUUAAUUAGGUGAUAGAAGAAUGAAAUGGUGAUUGUAGGGUAAAAUCGCACAACAUUUUAGAACACCUAGGGUGAAAACAUUUAUCAAUAAUUAUACUGACAUUGAGGUAUGUA